AUAUCAUUAAGCGGAGGAAAAGAAAAUAACAAUGAUUCCCCUAGUAACGGCGAGUGAAGCGGGAAGAGCUCAAGCUGAAAAUCCGGAAGCCUUGCGGUUUCCCGAAUUGUAGUCUAGAGACGUGCUGUCAGUGUGUGACCUGGGUAUAAGUCUUUUGGAACAAAGCAUCAUAGAGGGUGAGAAUCCCGUCUUUGACCCAGAGUACGCCACGUACGACACGCGUUCAACGAGUCGAGUUGGUCGGGACUCCAGCUCUAAAUGGGUGGUAAGAUUCAUCUAAAGCUAAAUAUAGGCGGGAGACCGAUAGCGAACAAGUACCGUGAGGGAAAGAUGAAAAGAACUUUGAAAAGAGAGUUAAAAAGUACUUGAAAUUGUUAAGAGGAAAGCGAUGGAAACCAGUCGUGCCUGGUGCAACUAAAGUCUUCGCCGGCGAAGAGGAGGCGGUUUGAGUGGUUAAACCUCUGCCGUUUUCUGGACGUUGUGUGGGGGUGGACGUUGUGUUGGGUGGGUCAGCAUCGAUUUGGCUUGCUUGGGAGAAAGCCGGGGGGGAGCUAACUUCGCCUUCGGGUGUCGUCGUAUAAACCCCUGGCUCUACUGGGUGCUGGAUCGA
rnacentral:rRNA from 1 species